GUCUACGGCCAUACCACCCUGAACGCGCCCGAUCUCAUCUGAUCUCGGAAGCUAAGCAGGGUCGGGCCUGGUUAGUACUUGGAUGUGAGAAACAAGACAGGGAUGUCUACU
rnacentral:rRNA from 1 species